rnacentral:lncRNA from 1 species
UAUGGUGCAAAGGGAGGGAAGGGAGAGUGUCAGAAUGUGGAAGGCUUGUCGUAGUUGGUUACAGACCUCUCUUCUGAGCACCUUGUUUGUGUCAACUUCUGGCUAACCUGAAUGAACACCCAUCAGCUGGGAGAAACAAGCACUAGGGGGCACCUUCAUGGUCACUGGUAAAGAAAGCCCUAAUUAUCUACAAAAUGGAAAUGGAAAACAAACAUUUAAAGUUUUAUGCAUUUUAGUUUUGAACUAGAAAUCUUCCAAGUUUAAUAUAUACCUUCCUAGUGAAUUCCCCUGCCAAAAACAAACAAAAAACCCCUCCCCUAAACCAAAUGGUAUUCCUGCAUCUUGGGCAACAGCUCCUUCACUGUCAAGUAGUUCCAAAGGAAAGCACGAGUAGGUAAGAGUCAAAAAUGCCACUGAGUUUUUGCUGUGAUCAAAUUGAUCAGGAGACAACAAUGUGGUUCUGUAAAAAUCAGCACAUCAACAAUGUGUCUUCCCACACUCCAUCUGGGGAAACCCGGCUAAGCAGCCUGGAAACAGAGUGCCAGGUCACUCUCUACAUGUAGGGCUGCUGGGCAGCCGCAGUAACGUGUGCCCGGAUGCAUCUGUGUACACAGCUCUCUGGUUUGCUUUCUGCAAAUUGGACGGAAAACAGAGCCUGGCUUCCCAUCCAGUAAAUGGUUUUCAAACUGCGAGUCAAGAAAACCGAAAACUUACUCCCCAUCUGCCUGCUAGGUGGCCUUCCUGCAUUUACUGCCACAUCCCUUCCUAGCCAACUGCUCCCUGUCUAGACGGAAGCCACCCAGUGUCAACGUCUGUGUCUCCUCACCUGAGUCAUCUCCAUCUGCUCAGUGCCUUGUGUACUGCAUUAAGUACUUGCUCAGAGGUCAAGAGGAGGAACUGACUCACGCAGCAUUAGUGGAUGUUCACUAAGCCUUCUGUUGAUUGUAACGUUAGUAUAGGGGAAGGGCAAAAGCAGAAUUCUGACCCUAAAGCUUGGCCAUCUGAAUGAACUCACUGCACCAUGCUCAGUGCUGUGGGAAGAUGGUUAGGCAACAGAAAUGUCCUUAGGAAGGAGCUCUAGGUAUCUACACCUGACCAGGUGUU